GUCCUCCAUGAAGGUGGUCAGUAAGUUAAACAGAAGUGCCAACCAUGCCAUGCCAAAGAGGAUCCAGAUUGCCAUCACUGCCCGGUACGAUGGUAACCAGACAGCAAAACUAAACACACCACAGAACUGGUUUAGCAUUAUGCAGAUCCUAACAUUCUGCAGGACUGGAUGAGAAAGAGAGGGCAGUAUGAGACUAAUGACAUUAGACAAUUGCGAAUUUUUUCUGAAUGGGAAGAUAGACUUUUGCCAACAGCACCAAGAAUAAUCACAUGCAAGGGAAUUCCGAAGAGCGC